GCAGCAGUGGGGGAAUAUUGGACAAUGGGCGCAAGCCUGAUCCAAGCAAUGCCGCGUGUGUGAAGAGGGGCCUUCGGGGUUGUAAAGCACUUUAAGUUGGGAAGAAAAAACUCGCUCUAACACAGUGAGUCUUGACGGUACCGACAGAAUAAGCACCGGCUAACUCUGUGCCAGCAGCCGCGGUAAUACAGAGGGUGCAAGCGUUAAUCGGAUUUACUGGGCGUAAAGCGUGCGUAGGCGGUUCGUUAAGUCGAUUGUGAAAGCCCUGGGCUUAACCUGGGAAUUGCGGUCGAUACUGGCGGACUAGAGAACGGUAGAGGGAGGCGGAACUCCAGGUGUAGCGGUGAAAUGCGUAGAUAUCUGGAAGAACACCGAUGGCGAAGGCAACCUCCUGGGCCUGUUCUGACGCUGAGGCACGAAAGCGUGGGUAGCAAACAGGAUUAGAUACCCUGGUAGUCCACGCUGUAAACGAUGAGAACUUGACGUCGGGUCGCUUAGCGAUUCGGUGUCGAAGCUAACGCGCUAAGUUCUCCGCCUGGGGAGUACGGCCGCAAGGUUGAAACUCAAAGGAAUUGACGG
rnacentral:rRNA from 1 species